UGCCGAAAAUGUGAAGUUAGCUUUUCCGCCAGAUUGUAAAUCCAUAUCAAAAAAGGGGCCUUUUCACUUCGCCAUUAAUGUGCUUAUGGUCUUACAUAAGAUUGCGUGAUUAAGUAUGAUUAAGUAUAUCAAGAGAGAAAAGAAACACACCAAGGUAAAGCAUAAAAAAUGGCAUAACAAAAGCCUUGUGUUUUGCUUAGAUUUUAGUUAAAAUCUGAGCCUUAUAGAUUGAGUCUGUAUAACUCUGCUCUGAUAGCAAGGGCUUGUCCCGGCGACGUUUUCUUCAAGUGUUUGCCUUAUCAGUUAUCGAUGGUAGGUUACUGGCCUAUCAUGGUCGUAAAGGGUGAUGGGAAAUCAGGGUUUGCUUCCGUAGAGGGAGCCUUAGAAAGAGCUACCACAUCCAAGAAAGGCAGCAAGCUCGCAAAUUACCCACUCCCAGAACGGGGAGGUAGUGACAAAAAAUCAAAUUACUGAUCUCUUUUAAGACCCCGUAACUGAAAUGAGUGCAGUCUAAAUUUUUUUAACGAGGAUCAACUGGAGGGCAAGUCUGGUGGCAGCAGCAGCGUUCAUUUCAGCUCCAAUAGCUUAUAUUAAAAUUGUUGUUGUUAAAAAGCUCCUAGUUGUAUUUAAGUUCCUGGUGGUCCACCUACCGGAGGUUACUGCCUGUUCUGAACAUCCAAGGUUGUUGUUGCCUAAUUUUAUAAUAUAUUUCCUGAAAACCAAGCAAGAUAGAAACGAUUCUUCGUUGCAGUUCCAACUAAUAAACAUUU
rnacentral:ncRNA from 1 species